AUGAGACAGUGACGGCGGUUAUUCUCCCGUGAAAUUCGAAGGAAACCUGCAGGGUUGAACGCAUAUAUAAUUGCGAAAAGCCUUCCCGCUAUUUUGUGUCAGCGAGUUCCACAGAAGCUGCCUGGAAAGACCGUGUGCUGAAGGAGUCCACGUCACCUGCCGGGAACAGGAGAACCAAGGGACAUGCUGCGAGCUACUGUGUUUGUCGUGUUAAUUUGUGGUUCGGUGCUUUAUAGCAGUACGGCCUUGAAAUCAGCGCCUAAGUGCACCAAGCCGGAUUGUUACAGACAGCCAAAUGGACAGAAUACAACCUGUACGAACCCAUGCGAGGCAUACUUCUGCAAGAAUGGAGAUCUCGUGACUCUAAAGUGCGUAGGAGCAGACGACCCUCUCUGCAAGCUCCUUACGGAGGUACUGGACCGUAUCCUGAUUGUUGUGGCCCAGUGAUGUGCAGCAAAUCCUCAGGAAAGAGCAGAUCUCGAAGGCUUUAAAUGACUUCGAGACCGCGGUCUAAAGAAAACUUGAAGGAUACAAGUUCACAAUGACUGAGCCCAAGCGACCAAGAGGGUGCACCAGGAAGUGUACGGAAGAUCAGACAGUUCCAGUCUCGUGUUUGUCUUGCAUUUCAUUUAUGUGACAAUUCCAUUACCUCACCAUUUGAAGAAAGUUUUAUUUCAUAUAGUUUUGACUACAAAUGACAUGCGACUGUUUCUGUUACACCACCCGAUUCCCAUCAAAAAAUAAAAAUAAAAGAUGGCUUCUUGAAGAUUACCGAGAAUGCCAAAAGGUGUAUGAUCGUAUGGGUCGGCAGCUGGAGCGACUAGGUACAAAGCGCUGGCAGGAAUUCUGCACUUCACUCACUCCCUUUACACCUGAAUCAAAAUUAUGGAAUGUUCUGCGCUCUUUAAGUGGACCAGUAACGCACCAACAGCCAUUCAGAGCACUAGCUUUAGUCCAGAAAGUACCGGAAACAACUAUAGCAAAUGAGUUUUGUCAGCUUAUUACUCGCCCAAGUGCAGCAGUAAACACAUCUGAAUACAGUAAUUCUGUCGAAGAAGUCAAAGCAUCGAUCAAUUUUUCUAUUAGAAGCGAUCAUCAUGACCUAGAUCAACCGUUUUCACUAGAAGAA